rnacentral:rRNA from 1 species
UACGAAGGGGGCUAGCGUUGCUCGGAAUCACUGGGCGUAAAGCGCACGUAGGCGGAUUCCUAAGUCGGGGGGGAAAUCCUGGAGCUCAACUCCAGAACUGCCUCCGAUACUGAGAGUCUUCGAGUCCGGGAGAGGUGAGUGGAACUGCGAGUGUAGAGGUGAAAUUCGUAGAUAUUCGCAAGAACACCAGUGGCGAAGGCGGCUCACUGGCCCGGUACUGACGCUGAGGUGCGAAAGCGUGGGGAGCAAACAGG